UACAGAGGGUGCAAGCGUUAAUCGGAAUUACUGGGCGUAAAGUGCGCGUAGGCGGCUGCUUAAGUCGGAUGUGGAAUCCCCGGGCUCAACCUGGGAACUGCAUUCGAUACUGAGCAGCUAGAGUAUGAGAGAGGGAGGUAGAAUUCCACGUGUAGCGGUGAAAUGCGUAGAUAUGUGGAGGAAUACCGGUGGCGAAGGCGGCCUCCUGGCUUAAUACUGACGCUGAGGUGCGAAAGCGUGGGGAGCAAACAGG
rnacentral:rRNA from 1 species